UACGUAGGUGACAAGCGUUUGUCCGGAUUUACUGGGCGUAAAGAGCGCGCAGGCGGUCGAUCAAGUCGAGUGUGAAAGCCCCCGGCUCAACUGGGGAGGGUCAUUCGAUACUGAUCGACUCGAAGGCAGGAGAGGGUAGUGGAAUUCCCGGUGUAGUGGUGAAAUGCGUAGAUAUCGGGAGGAACACCAGUGGCGAAGGCGACUACCUGGCCUGUUCUUGACGCUGAGGCGCGAAAGCUAGGGGAGCAAAC
rnacentral:rRNA from 1 species